rnacentral:rRNA from 1 species
AAAUUGAAGAGUUUGAUCAUGGCUCAGAUUGAACGCUGGCGGCAGGCCUAACACAUGCAAGUCGAGCGGUAACACAGAGAGCUUGCUCUCGGGUGACGAGCGGCGGACGGGUGAGUAAUGUCUGGGAAACUGCCUGAUGGAGGGGGAUAACUACUGGAAACGGUAGCUAAUACCGCAUAACGUCGCAAGACCAAAGUGGGGGACCUUCGGGCCUCAUGCCAUCAGAUGUGCCCAGAUGGGAUUAGCUAGUAGGUGGGGUAAUGGCUCACCUAGGCGACGAUCCCUAGCUGGUCUGAGAGGAUGACCAGCCACACUGGAACUGAGACACGGUCCAGACUCCUACGGGAGGCAGCAGUGGGGAAUAUUGCACAAUGGGCGAAAGCCUGAUGCAGCCAUGCCGCGUGUAUGAAGAAGGCCUUCGGGUUGUAAAGUACUUUCAGCGAGGAGGAAGGCAUCAAGGUUAAUAACCUUGGUGAUUGACGUUAC